GAUUUUCUUAAUUUUAUUAUCCUUCUAGUAAUUCAGUGAAAUCAAAUCGAACUAUAUAAUUUGAUUGAGUCUAACAAGCCUGCACAUACCAUUUGAAAAUUGUGGGGAUAAAGAAUCAAACGAUACACAAUCCCAAAAAUUCACACAAGCGUGAAUAGGAACACAGGCACUGACAUCGCCAAACCAGCAGGCAUCAAAAGCUUUGAUCUGAGACCUACUCCCGAGGUCACUGUUUUGAUCAUGAUCCUAAAUUUGCAAUCUCCAGUAGAUGGGUCUUUAUUAGUGAUAACUGAGACAUUGGGGAACUGGCAGGCACUCUCAAGCUGAUUGUUCUGUUGAUAGUAACUGUUAAAUGCAUAAGAGAUAUUCCCUCGUGCAUCCAGAUUUCCACAAGAAGUCCCAUACCCUAAGGCAGUGCAGUCAGCAUUAGCACAAGCAUAAUUCACACUAGGUUCAACUUGUGGGUCAUCAAGGCUUGCCGAUGGCGACAUUAUACACCAUUGUUGAGCUAAAUAUUGUACACCCCUUGCUGGUACCAGACUGUUAGAACUUGUUGUCCCCAUAGUUAGUGUGUACUUGGGCUGUCCGUCGAAGUAAAAUAAUCCCCAAUGGCGCUCAAAGUUACCUGGUUGAAUGCUCUUGGCAUCUUCAUCAACGAGGCUAAAUAAAUAGGCAUCCAGGGGACCAGGUCUCAGUGGGGUUCCCUGCCCGGCAAUGAUACGGUUCAUAAAUCCUUGGUUGAACUGCUGGGCAUUCUUCAAGUUGGCAUUUUUGUCUCCAUCCGUAGGCCACCCGAUUUCUCCAAUGAUAAUGGACAAGUUUUCGUAUCCAUUUUUCUGUAAUGCCCACACAAGUGUAUCAUGAUUCGCAUCAAAAACAUUCUUGUAGAUUGUUCCACCAUCAUUUAUAGCAGAUGAAUUGCUGUCGAAGAAUGCAUAGGCAAUAGGGAAAUUGGGAUCCUCAUAUAGGCUUAUAAAAGGAUAGAUGUUCACAGUAAAUGGAGCUCCAUUUUCGCUCAAGAACUUGACGAUUGAUAACAUUAGGUCGUGGAUAUCUGCUCGGAAGUCACCACCAGAUGGCAGAUCUGUUGAAGUCUCAUAUACAUCCGCAUUGAGAGGAACAGUGACUUUCACCAGAGUGCUUAAUCCUGCUUUUAUCAGAGCCGCUUGGAUAUUUUGAAGAGCAGGAAGAGUUGUUCCUAAAAAGCUUCCAUUGUAUGUAGACAAGAAUGGUUCAUUUCCAACUGCAACAUACCUGAUGUCUACACCAUUGGUGGAGAUAUGAGAGGAGACAUUCUUGGCAACCCAAUUCUCAGCAGCUUCCAUACUAUUAGCCAGAGUAUUGAGCAGAUCAUUAGGAAUGCCCACCAUCACCUGAAUCCCAGUAUUACUGAGAGCAUUCAAAGCAUCCGAAUCUGCAUCAAAAAGCUUAACCUUUUGAAAGCCAUUGUCCUUGAGCAUUCCCACCACUGUUGAAGGCGGCAAAGGGUGCGUUGCCUGUGUUCCCCAGUUCACACCAAUUCCACCAACUGAACCCAUCUUCACUUGAAUACAUAACAACCACAAGGCAACAAGAUGCCCACUGGACACCAAACCUAGGAUCGAUCCCAUACGUACUCGAUUGGCAAAGAUUUUACUUGGUAUUAAAUUAUUUAUGAACACCACUAAAGCAAUAAGAGAAUAGAGCUACUAGAGUAGCUUGCCGAAAACUGUAACAAGGGUUCAAGAUUUUAAACUCGGAAGCAGUAGCUGUGGUGAAAAAGUUUCAAAUAUGGAUUGAAGUUGGAAACCAAUUAAUAAGAUAAAAAUCAACAAGAAUAAGAAAAGAGAAACAGAGUAGGUAGAGUUUAAAGCUAUAAACCAACACCUCUAAUCAGAUAGUAACGAAGGCGAUUAGAGCCAAUAGAAAAAGCACUUACCAGAUAAUUAAGAACAGGGGCCAAGGAGACUCAAAGAAAGAUGCCUGAUAUGUUUCCUUAAUACUGGUGAAAUUGAGCAAAAUAAAGAUCCAAAACACAGGGAAAUGAAUGGAAGCUGAGCCUGAGACAAUAAUUUCGUUUUGGGCGUAAACGCCAAUCAAUUCUUUAAUAAUUUUGAGAAUUGAUUAAUUAAAUCCAUAAUUUAUGUCCGCUUACAUAAGAAAGCACGAAGUUGUCUCUUUGGUCUAAAACAAUUAAAGAAAAAAAGGCGAUUGCAA
rnacentral:misc_RNA from 1 species